UUCAAUUUAGGCACUUUCCGAAAUCCUUACCAAAAUAGGUACUCAGUGCAUUGUUAAAUGUCGAUUGUACCCCUUAAAUUGGUGACGUCUUCUUCUUCUUCGGUGUAUUCUCUCUCAUCUUAUCGAAAAGGGAAAAAAUUGAAAUCUAAGCUUUCAUUCGAUAAUGGAGCCAUGGCAGCUGCGCGACCACUGUUAUAUUUUCCGGUCUUGUUCGUUUUUCGCUUCAAGACGUUCGCGUUUGUAUCAUCGUCUCCUCCGUCGGAUUUAGAUCUCCAAAUCCAGUCUUACGGUGGCUUUCUUUGAUUAUUCUCCAAUGAUCUUCAAUCUUACAAGUCACUGAAGAUGUGAGAGGAAAAGAAUUUAUGGUUGGGCUCGAGCUUGUGAGUGACUGGAAACACAAGACACUAGCUAUGGCUGAAACAACUAUCUUGUUCGAGCAACUUAGUGGUAAACAACAUUAUAACCAAAUGCAUCAAUUUUUUCAAGUAUAAAAGCAUCAAUUGGUUAAUCAAAAUUGUGUUGCUCUUUUUUCUCAAUGAAUAACUUGGCCUCCUCGUUGGAAUUGGAGGACUUCAUAGGAACGUUUUCAGGAUAAAGCCACAAAUGUUUGUGGUGAUCAUGCAUGUCUUCUUUCUUUUUUUGUAAAGAAUGUUUGCGUUCAAACUUUUCACUGGGAAGGUACAUAUAUAUUGUGUUUGGGUUUUCUAUUUACAAUCUAUUAGGGUUUAGUUUUUUUGUAUGAUGAUUAUCUUUAUAAUAUAUUUGUAAUCCCAAAACAAUAGUUUUCAUUACAAUCACAAAAAUUUAAUCUUUA